CCUGAGAGAUGAUCAGGUUGAUAGGCUUUAAGUAUAAGCGCAGUAAUGCGUUAAGCUGAGAAGUACUAAUGUUUCGAUU
rnacentral:rRNA from 1 species